UCCUCAUGCAGCUGACUUUGGCUUUGCCCGGUACCUCCAGAGCAACAUGAUGGCUGCUACUCUGUGUGGGUCACCAAUGUAUAUGGCGCCCGAGGUUAUCAUGUCACAGAACUAUGACGCCAAAGCCGACCUCUGGAGCAUAGGCACGGUCAUCUACCAGUGUUUGGUUGGCAAACCGCCGUUCCAGGCCAACAGUCCCCAAGACCUGAGGAUGUUUUAUGAGAAGAACAAGAACCUACAGCCUAUGUAAG